rnacentral:rRNA from 1 species
GAUGCCUUCUGAUUGCUUAUUGCACCACAUGUGUUUUUCUUUGAAACAAACUUGCUUUGGCGGUGGGCCCAGCCUGCCGCCAGAGGUCUAAACUUACAACCAAUUUUUUAUCAACUUGUCACACCAGAUUAUUACUAAUAGUCAAAACUUUCAACAACGGAUCUCUUGGUUCUCGCAUCGAUGAAGAACGCAGCGAAAUGCGAUACGUAAUAUGAAUUGCAGAUAUUCGUGAAUCAUCGAAUCUUUGAACGCACAUUGCGCCCUCUGGUAUUCCGGAGGGCAUGCCUGUUUGAGCGUCGUUUCUCCCUCAAACCGCUGGGUUUGGUGUUGAGCAAUACGACUUGGGUUUGCUUGAAAGACGGUAGUGGUAAGGCGGGAUCGCUUUGACAAUGGCUUAGGUCUAACCAAAAACAUUGCUUGCGGCGGUAACGUCUACCACGUAUAUCUUCAAACUUUGACCUCAAAUCAGGUAGGACUACCCGCUGAACUUAAGCAUAUCAAAAGCCGGAGGAA